rnacentral:rRNA from 1 species
GAUGAACGCUGGCGGCGUGCCUAAUACAUGCAAGUCGGACGAAAAUACCCGAUGAGUAAUCGUUGGAAUAUUCUAGUGGCAAACGGGUGAGUAACGCGUAAGUGACCUGUCCCCAAGUGGGGGAUAACCCCGAGAAAUCGGAGCUAAUACCGCAUGAAGUGCCGAGGGUGAUACCUCGAUACCAAAGCCGCAAGGCGCUGGGGGAGGGGCUUGCGUCCUAUCAGGUAGUUGGCAGGGUAACGGCCUACCAAGCCGAUGACGGGUAGCUGGUCUGAGAGGAUGUCCAGCCACACUGGGACUGAGAUACGGCCCAGACUCCUACGGGAGGCAGCAGCAAGGAAUUUUGCGCAAUGGGCGAAAGCCUGACGCAGCAACGCCGCGUGGGUGAAGAAGGCUCUCGGGUCGUAAAGCCCUUUUGUUGGGGAAGAAGCUCUGACGGUACCCAACGAAUAAGCCUCGGCUAACUACGUG